rnacentral:tRNA from 1 species
GCUUCUAAAGGAUAACAGCCAUCCGCUGGUCUUAGGAGCCAAAAACUCUUGGUGCAAAUCCAAGUAGAAGCU